GAUGAAGAACGCAGCGAAAUGCGAUACUUGGUGUGAAUUGCAGAAUCCCGUGAACCAUCGAGUCUCUGAACGCAAGUUGCGCCUCAAGCCAUUAGGUUGAGGGCACGUCUGCCUGGGCGUCACAUAUCGUUGCCUGAUGCCAGUUUCCUCGUGAUGGGUGACUGUGCAGGGCGAAUGAUGGCUUCCCGUGAGCAUUGUUGCCUCAUGGUUGGUUGAAAAUUGAGUCCUUGGUAGGGAGCGCCGUGAUAGAUGGUGGUUGAGUGACGAACGAGACCCAAUCAUGUGAGACCCCUACCGAAUUUGGCCUUCAUGACCCACAUGCGUCUUUGGAACGCUCAUGACGAGACCUCAGGUCAGGCGGGGCUACCCGCUGAGUUUAAGCAUAUCAAUAAGCGGAGGA
rnacentral:misc_RNA from 1 species